rnacentral:lncRNA from 1 species
GUUAUUCUUUAAAAUACAGUAUUCAGUAUUAUGCAUGUUUUUUCAGUUUUUUUUUUCAGAAGUACCUGUUGGAUCUUUUCAGAAUUACUGGAUCUUCAGCCUUUGCCAAUUAUGGCUUUGGGAUGUAAAGCAUAUGAAGCCCUCUACAACUUCAGCCACUUUAACCCUGUGCAGACACAAAUAUUUCAUACACUGUAUCACACAGACUGUAGUGUCCUAGUUGGAGCACCCACUGGAUCAAGAAAGACUGUUGCAGCUGAAUUAGCUAUUUUCAGAGUCUUCAACAAGUAUCCCUUCUCAAAGGCAAUGCUGGAUGUGGCUGCAAACCAAGGUUGGCUGGUGACUGCCCUGAAUACCACCAACCUCGUUCAGAUGUUGAUCCAGGGCCAGU